UUUCCGUAGGUGAACCUGCGGAAGGUUCAUUAACGUAUCUCUGACGGCGAGGGUGCGCCCCGCUCCGGACCGAACGGCCGUGCAGAGUGCGAGCACGAGCCGCUCAACCUUUGCUAACCAAACAGUGCACUUUUGUCGGCAAAGGGCGCUCAGGGCCCCGAGCAGGACUACAAACACUACUUUACAGAACCAUCUGUGGCCGCUGCGUCGCCUUAACUUCACCAACUUUCAAAAAUGGAUCUCUUGGCGAUCGCAUCGAAGAAGAAAGCAGCAACAAGG
rnacentral:misc_RNA from 1 species